CAUUGUCUCGCCGCGGUCUCGUCCGUCGCCGCCGACGUCGUUUCGUUUAGUAUAAUAGCCGCUCGCCGACACUAUACAUUUGCAGUUAAUGUCGUUAUCACCAUCGUUACAGCGCAUAAUAAGUAGUUGCCGUCGCCAUAUUAUAUUGUUGUCGUGAAUCGUGAUAAUAAAGUUAUAGUACAAUAAUAAUAUAGUGGCGCACGCGACCGGCAAACCGCGUCCGGCAGCCGACGACGACGCCGCAUCAUCGCCACCAGUAUCCGUUCGGUUACCUACCGGUCCGUUCGUACGCGCUCAUGAUUCGGUAAAUCGCGUCCAGACGUCCGCGAGGCUGAUACAUUUUUUAGGGGAAAAUAAUUGGAACGAUUUUUUUUUUCCCGCCCACGGGGGAUAAAUAUUAUAAUAUUAUGUCCCGGUGCCAACAGGACGCGUUCGCAGUGAACCGCAGUGCGGUCGCGUUUAUCGUAUUAUAAUAUCAGUGCGAAUCUUAUAUUUUGUACUGUGCGUGUUCUCGAAAAAGAAAAUUCGAAUUCAAUUUCGACUCUUCCCAAUCAAGUUACCUUUUGUUUCUUUUUCUUUUUUUUUUUUGUGAUGUGYGGUUUUGGUUACUAUAAGAAUAUCCGAUAUUAAGCCGUAUACUGAUCUCCGGAACGCGUCGCUUCGCAUCGCACACGUAUAUUAUAAUUACACUAUAUUAUAAUAUUACUUGUAGAACAAAGUCGUCUCAUAUAUUUCSGGACGAAACUUUUCUACUCACCGAGCACCGACCGCAACAGAAUGAARUGGCUCAGGAGUGAUGGAGGACCUAUGUUCUAUGGUUAUAGCAACCGUACACCGGUCACAGGUGAUGUACAAAUGAUUACGACCUGUCUGGUUUUCGGUACGAUUUUCACAGCAUUUCUUAUCAUUUUCCCGGGAGUUCGUAAAGAAAGGUUCACCACCUUCACAACUGUCACCUUGAGUCUGUUCGUCGGAAACGUCAUAUUGU